GAAGUUCUUUCGACAGUACGUGUUAUUUUUAUUGGAAUAAAACGGAAUGGCGCGAUUUCUAGUUGCUGUGAUUGAUUUUGGAACAUCAUACUCCGGAUGGUCUUACUCGUUUAAACUUGACCCAACAAUAGUCGCCACGAAAAAUUGGCAAGGGGAUCAACUUGUUUCUUCAAAAGCACCAACAUGUGUCUUGAUUGAACCUGAUGGGAAGACGUUCUCUGCAUUUGGAUACGAUGCUGCAACACAGUAUUCGGAAUUAGCAGAAAACCCCCAUUAAAUGUCAAAAAUGGUAUUUCAAGAGAUUCAAGAUGAAAUUAUACAACAAGAAAAUAAAAAGAGAAAUGGAAAUUGAAGACGAAACCGGUAAAAAGAGAAAGGCACAUACAGUUUUCGCUAUUGCUAUACGGUAUACUAUUUUUGUUAAGCUGCACAUAUAUGCUCAACAUUGCUUAACUUGUAAU